rnacentral:misc_RNA from 1 species
UAUUUUCUUUCACCUGUGACAACAUACAAAGCUAUCGCUAAGUGGUGAACUCAGUGGUGCACAACUAUAAUUUAAAACAUAGUACAAUAUACAUUGAUAAAUUUUACAGUAAAUAAUUUGAGAAUCUGAAUACUGAUCAAAUUUCACAACUCAAAAUACUCAUUGCCAAUAAUGUAAAUCAUUUGUAUAAAUGACUUGGAGCACAAAAUUCAAUUUAUCAUAUCUUGACUAUCCAUUUAAGUAAUUCCAACAAAAUCAAUUAUACAUAAACCAUAAUUAAAAUCACCAUUCCUUGCCAUUCAAAAGCCAUUCUGUAUCUCAAAAUCAUUUUGUAUCUCAAAAAAAUUAUACUGUAUCUCAAAAGUCAUUAUGCAUCUCAAAAACCAUGUUGUAUCUCAAAAAUCAUAUUGUAUCUCAAAAGUCAUUAUGUAUCUCAAAAAUCAAUCUUUAUCUCACUAACUAUGCAAG